rnacentral:rRNA from 1 species
GACAAACGCUGGCGGCGUGCUUAACACAUGCAAGUCGAACGGUCUACUUUAGGGUAGAUAGUGGCGGACGGGUGAGUAACGCGUAGUUGACCUGCCUUUUGGUGGGGAAUAACUCCUCGAAAGAGGAGCUAAUACCGCAUGAUCUCUCUGUUGUUGGACAGAGAGGAAACCUUCUUCUUGUGAAAGCAAGAGGUAGGGCCGAAAGAGGGGACUGCGGCGGAUUAGCUAGAUGGUGGGGAAAAGCCUACCAUGGCGACGAUCCGUAGCUGGUCUGAGAGGACGACCAGCCACACUGGGACUGAGACACGGCCCAGACUCCUACGGGAGGCAGCAGUGGGGAAUCUUGCGCAAUGCGCGAAAGCGUGACGCAGCAACGCCGCGUGAGGGAAGACGGCCUGGU